rnacentral:misc_RNA from 1 species
GUUCGAUAGUGGUGCAUUCAUAAUUUUCAUGGAAAUUGAUUUCGUGAUCAUAUAAUAUUUUCUUCCUUCGUUACUUAAUUUUCUUGGUGGGUGUUGUGUUGGUGAACAACUUCAAAAUUUCCAUGGUUCCAUUUAAAUUAUCGAAAAUAUUUAUUUAUUUUUUGUUAAUAUUAUUAAGAAAAUUAAAAAAAAACUAUUUAUCAAUCACUCAAAUUAUAAAAUUGUAUAUAUAUGAGCUAGCAAAAACUAUGAAAAGUCCUCUCAACUUUAAAAGUUAAAAGCUAAAUUGACGAAUAAUAAUAUAUAAUUAAGGAGAAGUUAAAUUAAUCAAAUUAAAUUAUUUAUAAUAACUGCACCUCAUCUUAAUUAAUCAAUAUUUAAUUUUCAAAUUUAUAGAGUCUGUCCUCAUUGAACUUGGGCUUUGGAGUUUCCGUAGCCUAUUGUUGACCCAUCUCUGGUUGGGGGGCCAGUUCAGAGAGUUGAGAGA